UGGAAACUCUUCAUUUGAAAAGGUUUCUCCCUCGCUUUUUAAGGAAGUUUAUUGAAUUUUUGUUUUUAAUUUGGAAUGCAAUUACAGAAGCCUUGAUGAAUAGAGUGGAAUGUUUGGAAGUCAGCUUUUCUCAUGAGACUGAGAACUAAAAUUCCUCAAAGGGAACCAGAGGGCUUGACACAUCCUUUACAUCCUGCAUUUACUCUGACCACAGUCCCUCCCUGUUCUCACAAGUGGAGCUCAGCCCUGCUUCCCUUCCUGUUGAUUCCCAGUCAGCUACAUGACUGCCUGAAGUUACAUUGUAGAUGCUGAAAUCACUGCACCUUAAAAACAAAAAGAUUAAGCUGCACUGUAUUCCUGGUCUUGAGGAAAUCAAGGCAGAAAUGUUGAGCAGCUUGCUCAAGAUCACAGAGUAAAUCAGAAGUCAAGCUGAGAGUGGAACACAGGACCAUGACUCCAAGUCUCUUCUGUUCAGCCCAGUUCUUCUUCUUUCAGUUCAGUAAUCUAGUAUGCACUAUAAAAUACACGUCCAAAUACCUAUCUAAUUUUUGGUUUCUAGUGUGAUUUGUUUUUCCAAAACUACUCCGCCUGUAAACUCCUAGCUACUCCUAAAUUCUGUAGCCUUGGCAUACAGCCUGUUUGUGGAAUAUAGAAGAGCAAGGUGGAGGAACUUUUAUGUAUACACAUGUACACUGUAAAAUAAAACUGUGAUUAUUCCUAUACCUCUUGUGUCU
rnacentral:lncRNA from 1 species